UCCUGAGAAAGCUCUAUAUGUACAUUAGUUACGUAUGUACUAUAUAUUGGAGAAAUAAUGAUUUAAAAUAUAGCUUAUCUCAACUCAAAAUAUAUUUUAAUAAAAAAUGAAUCAUAUAUCAGCAAUAUAGCUCAGGUAUGUAUCAAGGAAUGGUUAGGUUGGCAUUGGAUCAGAUCUUCUCUUGAUAGAGCUCAAUUGUCAAGCUGCCAUUUCGAUCCCACAUUCCACAUGUCAAUGCCAA
rnacentral:lncRNA from 1 species